GACGAACGCUGGCGGCGUGCUUAACACAUGCAAAGUCGAACGAUGAAGCUGGAGCUUGCUCCGGUGGAUUAGUGGCGAACGGGUGAGUAACACGUGAGAAAUCUGCCCCUGACUCUGGGAUAAGCGUUGGAAACGACGUCUAAUACCGGAUACGAGCUAGGACCGCAUGGUCACUAGCUGGAAAGAAUUUUGGUCAAGGAUGGACUCGCGGCCUAUCAGCUAGUUGGUGAGGUAACGGCCCACCAAGGCGACGACGGGUAGCCGGCCUGAGAGGGUGACCGGCCACACUGGGACUGAGACACGGCCCAGACUCCUACGGGAGGCAGCAGUGGGGAAUAUUGCACAAUGGGCGAAAGCCUGAUGCAGCAACGCCGCGUGAGGGACGACGGCCUUCGGGUUGUAAACCUCUUUUAGCAGGGAAGAAGCGAGAGUGACGGUACCUGCAGAAAAAGCACCGGCUAACUACGUG
rnacentral:rRNA from 1 species